CUCUAGCAGAAGCAGAGCAAGGGAUUCGUCUACAGCUCGGCCGCCGUUCGGCUUAGAUCCAAGCACGCCGCCGGCUUUAAAGGCGUGGGGCUGUAGAUCGAGAGAGCAGUCAGGCGGCGGCGACUCGGGAGUACGAGCUCGACGGAGGCUGAGCAUCGUCGGGUUCGGGAGUUGGAGAGGAUGAGGGGGAGGCGGCGGCUCGGCGGGCGCCUGGGGUCUCGGCAUCCGACCUCGGGUCCAAGCUGCCGACGGAGGUUUUUGCGCCGCGAGCACGCUGAGAGCCUGAGGUACCUGGACGACGGCCACGGCGAUGCACGAGGCGGUGGGCGGCGGCGGAUCCAGUCAUGCUCCUCCUCGAAUUCCCCGUCGUCGUGCUACAGAGGGCGUCUUCGCCCACAUCUCCUCACGCCGGUGGACGUGCCGCCUCCUGCCGCCGGUUCCGUCUGCCGGCCGCGACUCGGUAAACGGACAGAGCAUGUGCUCGCGGCGGAGGAUGCUCUCUCACUCCCGCGGAACGCUCGCCAACGCCGCCACCGCGGACAAGGUAGACACCCUCCUACAGCGUGAUGUUGUUGCUUCCCAGCUGUUUGCCGCGUGAUGCUCUGCUGCUGCUACUACUUUGCUACUGCUGCUAAUUUGCCCCUCUGGAACUCACAAGGAAGAUAUAAAUUUUGUGACUAAAGCAUAUUUGAUCAGCCGUCCUGUUACAAAACAUAGAUUUUUUUUAUAGCAUCAGGCAAAGAAUCGUAAUGUGCACUCAGUUCACACAGCACACACUCUUUUUCUUUAGGGAAACAUAUACGGAAAUUGUGAUUUGAAAGGACUAUCAAUCUACAUAAAUCAUGGCAAAGUUUCCUAGUACAUUUUUCGGUGCGGGUUCAUUGAGGAGAUUCAAGAUACAAUCUGCUGCUGCUAAUUUGCUGUAGUGCUGUUUUAAAGAUAAUGAUGACAGAUUACCACCAUCAAGCAUUUGCUAAUGACGAGGUAGAAAUUUUCUAUAGUUGCUAGCCAAUGGAAAAAGCAAAUCAGCCAGAGUUCUAUUUCUCAUUAGAUGAAUGACAGAAAUGGAUUAUUUCUUUAGAUUAUGAACUUAGCACGCUGUGAAAUACUCCUUUGAAGUUCAAAGAAUGGCUGAAGAUCAUUAUGGACAGGCUCAGCUUGCACCAUGUCACUUGACUCGUCAAAAGUCACACCCUGAGGAAUGCACAUUCGCCGAUCGAUAGGAUCCCAACACAUGAAGCGCUCAGUAGCCAUGAGAACGACCAAGCAGACACUCGAGAGGAAUGUCACCUUGCAAAGCAAGGAAGGCUGACUGUUGACGAGGUAGGUGGAAGUGUAAACAACCUCAACCCAAAAGUGAGGUGAAAGAGAGGUGUUGAUCUUCAAUGCACAAGCCGCCUCAAGAAGUUGACGAUGCUUACGAUCAGCAAACCAUUUUGAGCAUUUGGACCACGACAUGAGAACUGAGAAAGUGUGCCCUACUCAACAAUGAAUCCGCACAUGGAAGACACAAUUAGACUCUGCACAUGAUAGAUGAACUUGCAAGCAAAAUCUUCAUGGAAGACACAAUUAGGAGUGGGAAACCUGGCAUGAAGCAUGGGGGCAAACUUCUUACUGAUAGAUAAGACCUUACUACAAGAAAAGCAUAUAAUAUAUCCAUGUGUGUCGAGAGAAAACAUCUAUAAAGAUAAUAUAGUGGCGAUGGCCUCUUUUUGAGGCAAAGGGAGCUCAACCACAAACAUCAAAAUGAACAAGAUAGAAAGGACGAGACACAGUCUCGCUAUGAAGAUAAAGUAAUUAAACCUGUUUGCCAAGCCGACAACCUGACAGUGACAGAUCCAAGAAGACCACUUCGAACUAAGGAUGAGAAACAAGAACCACACAAGUGACAAAGACGAUGAUGCCACAAAGAGGCAGUAAACGAAGUAACCGAGGCGGAGAGACUGGCGACGGUGGCAGCAAAGGGAAUGUUAAACCAGUCAAGCUCCUAGAGGACCUGGGUGUUACAACGACGAUGGCCAACACUAAGUAAAGCAUCUAUUUGAGGAUCCUAAUAAGAACAAGAGUUAAACUAAAGAAUGACUGUACAACCAAAGUCGACAAUCUGACCACCUAAAAUGAGCUGCAUGGGCCAAGGAAUAUGAGCAAAAGAAUAACAUGAAAAGACGAAGUAGUAAGAGUGCCUCGACUGUCGACUUGGAGGGAAGUUCCAUCAUCAGUAAGAACAUGAACAUGAGUAUCUGAAGGUCGAAUAGCUGACAAACUUGAAGAAUCAUAAACUAUUUGAAAAUACGUCCAGUACCAAGGAUUCAUAGAGGUGUACUUGGUUGUGUAAAAGUGGUCACUCGAUACUAGAAAAAUCAGUAGCAAAACCUAUUGAGGUAGAACCCAACGAAUUAGCUAGUAGACAUGGAAGUUGCCUAAUCUCCAGUGUAUUCAUUGUCCAAACCGAAGAGGUUGCCGAAGAAGUAUUGUGCGAUGAAACUAGAAGUAGCAAGUAGGUGUUCUGUUAAAGUUCAAACACCCAAAAGUAUUUCUCGUUCUUCUUUGUUUAGUUUAAUUUGGUUUUUGAUUGCUUUCUUUUGUGUUCCUUUGGGUUUUUUUUGCUUCCUAUUGUUUGUUUGUUGUUUGCUUUUAAAAGAAACCCUCCUUUCGUUCUUUUGGUGUUUUGAAGUUCUUUCAGAAAACAAUAGAAAUAUUUCUUUGGAAGUUUAUUUGAUUGCCUCUUCGUUAAAACUUUGGAAAUCUUUCAUCUUUGCGUUCUUUUUUGCCUUUGAGAAAAACCAAAUGUUCUAAAUUAUUUCUGUUGUGUUUCUCUGAGUUCUUUGCAUUUCAUGUUUCAGGAAAUUCAAAAAUAUUUCUCUUUCGUUGUUCUUUUGUUUUCUUUUGGUUGUUCUUUUUGACUUUUCUUUGUUGUUUUCUUUUUGUUGUUUCUUUCGUCUUUGUGUUUAAAUUGCAAAACCCAAAAUUUCCAAAAAGAUUUUUCGUUUGCAUCUUAUUGAGUCCCAAGUGUUUGUAAUAUUUUUUUACUUCCUAUUGUUUCUUUUGUUUGUGUGUUGUUUGCUUUUGAAAGAAACCCUAAAAGAUAUUUCUUCAUUCUUUUUUGCUUUUUCUUUGGAAGUUUAUUUGAUUUCGUCUUUGCUGAAACUUCGGAAAUCUUUCAUAUGUGCUUCUUUUUGCGUUCUUGUUUGCCUUCUUUGAGAAAAGAAAAAUAAUCCAAAAAUAUUUCUAAAGUGUUUCUUUGAGUUCUUUUUUGCCCUUUAUGUUUCAGAAAAUCCAAAAAUAUUUCUCUUUUGUUGUUCUUCUGUUUGCCAUUGAUUUUCUUUUGGUUUUUUUGGCUUUUCUCUGCUGUUUUCUUUUUGUUGUUUCUUUCGUCUUUGUGUUUAAGUUGCAAAACCCAAACAUUCCAAAAAGAUUUCUCGUUUGCGUCUUAUUGAGUCUUAAUUGUUUUCCUUUGGUUAGUCUUUUUGGCUUUUCUUUGCUGUUUUCUUUUUUUCAUUUCUUUAAUCUAUGUGUUUAAGUUGUAAAACCCAAACAUUCUAGAAAGAUUCUUGUUUGCUUCUUAUUGAUUCUUAGUUAAUGUUUUUUUUUGCUUCCUAUUUUUUCUUUUGUUUGUUUGUUGUUGCUUUUAAAAGAAACCCAAAAUCAUUUCUUUAUCUUAUUAUUCUUUUGAUGUUAUUUGAGGAAAGCACAAAAUAUUUUCUCGUUCUUUUUGCUUUUUCUUUGGAUGUUUAUUUGAUUGCCUCUUUGUUGAAACUUUGAAAAUCCUUUAUCUCUGCUUCGCUUUGCCUUCUUUGAGAAAAACCAAAAAUUCCAAAAUCAUUUCUGUAUGUUUCUCUUAGUUCUUCUUUGCCUUUUAUUUUUUAGAAAAUCCAAAAAAUUUCUCUUUCGUUUCUCUUUUGUUUUUUCUUUGUUUUCUUUUGAUUGUUCUUCUUGGCGUUUUUUUGUGUUUUCUUUUUGCUGUUUCUUUCGUCUUUGUGUUUAAGUUGCAUACGUUAAAAAAAGUUGCAAACCCAUAAAUUCCAUAAAGAUUUCUCGUUUGAGUCUUAAGUGUCUGUAGUGUUUUUUUGCUUCCUAUUGUUUCUUCCGUUUUUUGUUCUUUGCUUUUAAAAGAAACCCCAAAAGAUUUCUUUGUCCUUUUGUAGUUUUGUUCUUUUGAAGUUCUUUGAGAAAAUAAUAAUAUAUUUCUUUGUUCUUUUUGCUUUUCCUUUGGAUGUUUAUUUGAUUUCCUCUUUGUUGAAACUUUGGAAAUCUUUUAUCUUUGCUUCUCUUUGCAUUCUUUUUGCCUUAUUUGAGAAAAAAAUACCAAAAUUAUUUCUGUUGUGUUUCUCUAGUUCUUUGCCUUUUAUGUUCCAGAAAAUGCAAAAAUAUUUCUCUUUCGUUGUUCUUUUGUUUUCCUUUGUUUUUUUCCUUUUUCUGUUGUUUCCUUUUUGUCGUUUGUUUUGUCUUUGCGUUUAUUUAAGUUGCAAAAAUUCCAAAAAGAUUUCUCGUCUUAAGUGUUGAGGGUGAACGAAUUUCUGAUUGGCUCGUAUGUGCUUUAUUGUUGAACUAAUGAAAAGACUAAAAAUAUUUCCCUUGUCUACUCUUUUGUACAAAUUGUUAGUAGUAAAACCUGCAAAACCUAUCGAUGGAGAACCAAAAGAAGCAGCUAGCAGACACUGAAGUCGCGUAAUCUCAAGUGUAGUGAGGGGCUCAACUGAAGAGGUUGACGAAGAAGCACAAGGCUAUGAAUAAAAACUAAAAGAAGUAGGUGUCGAAGUCGUGUAAUCUCUGUUCCUCCUCGAUCCGGUUUGGCGUCCUUCCCCUGGUUGCAGGUUUUGUGGCACGAACUUGAUGUUGCUUCCCAUGUUCCCUUUGGUGGCCCUUGGCCCCGGUGGCAGGUAGCGUCGUGCACACAUCCUGUGGGUUAGACUAAUGUUGAGUAAAUCGUUAACUGGUAACUGCUCGCUGAGCUUGGGAUUAGUGAUUAAUCGUUGGAUCGGUUUAUUAACUGGAUUAAUUGGUCAACCACUAGAAGCAAAUUUUGUAUGGAGGAAAAAUCUACAUUGCAAAUAGGAGGCAAAUGGCACCAUUUUCUUUUCUCAAAUGAUCACAAAUCUUUAUACAAUAACAAUCAUCCAUGUGGGCAUCAAAAGUCAUCUAUGUAUACAACAACAUUUUUUUGCUAAUUUCUGCCUGUGUCGCAACUUUGAGAGAUGGUGGCCACACGAUGGCGACAGAUAGAGGGAAGGUGACGGCCUCCGCGCUGGGCAUCUGAACGGGUCGGUUGCCGGAGGUGGUAGGUCAUGAACGAGGGGAAGUAGCGGCGUGUAGAGGGAGAAGAGGAAGCGGCGACACACAGGGGAGGAGGGAAGUGGCAGCACACCGACGAGGACCUGGUCAGUCGUCAUCUAAGUCGGGAGGGGAUGAGAGGAGCAGGAGGGGUUCUAAACCCUAGCUAUUUAGGAGCGGGAGGGUUUAUGGGCCAAAUAAUUAGGCUUUGUUUGCCCACAAGUUAACAGGCUAACAGCGAUUAAUCAGCUUGACAACAGAUUAGUCGGUCUAAUCGACCAUUUAAUCGGCCUGGCAAGUUAACGCGAUGAAUAUGUGUUAUUCGAGUCGGCCACCCGAUGAGUAGCGAUUAACUGAUUAAUCGGGUGAAUUCUUGGGCAGUUGGUUAGACAUUGCGGUGCCGACUGCCCCUGCUCUUGCUUCGUCGAUAGAUGGUGCUUGAGCAUUCGGCUAUGGCGCCCACCAGGGGAAGACGAGUUGUGGGAUUGAUACAGCGACAGAGCAACUCGUAGCCAGACAAAAGAUGCUCAACCGGACUGACAGGGAGCGGAGCGUGCACGAGGGGUGUGGUGGAGGGGUGAAAAAGCCGUCGAGAGCGGACCGCCACCGCCAUUUAGCUUUUGGACCUGGAGUUGAGCGGUGAGGGGAUGGCGACAGGGGAAGCGAGGAAGGCCGGAAGAGGGCACCGAGAGGAGAAAGGCAUCAUCCACCCUACACUUGUGCGUUAGCCGCGACUGCGGGCGGUUGUGGGCAGAUCCGGUGUCUGCAUGUGGAUCUGCUACUUGGGAUGAGAUGACAUGCUUGUUGAGUGAGGUGUCACAACUAUUGGGCCGUGUGGGUGGGUUUGGAGAGUCUGUGUUGUGCUUCGGUUAAGCCUUCAUGAAGAAACGGACCAAGUGUAAAUCAAAAGGCACAUAUUGAAGAGUAAUAAUAUGAUCCUGCACUCUGGAGUGCAUGAAUGCACGAACGAGGCAUGAACAUUAAUAUGCUUGGUGAGCUCAUGCUUCAUAUAGUGAGGUGCAAUCCUGAUAACAUAUACUGUAUGGUGUGACAAGAGAAGAGUAAUGUAGUGAUAGAAACACCAAAAUCCUCAAGGUCGUUAAUGAACUACACUGGGUUUGGAGAGAGAAGGAAGCCGUGUGAUGUGCUCUGUCUGAGUCUUUGUGAAGAAAUGGACCAAGUGUAAAUCGAAAGGCACAUACUAAAGUGUAGUCUGUUUCUUCGUCUUCCGGGCAAUGAGAAAACCAUCAAGAAAACACAGUAAGUAGAAAGGGACGAGCGAACUUGAGCAUAGGAUUAAGAGAGAGACGGGGAGAGGUAGUUCCACAAAGAUUUCGUAGAACAGGGGGGAGGUGACUUAAGUGGAUGAAAGUGGGAGCAGAGACAAACUGACUUAGAACAAGAAUGUGAUAUGAAAUGUCUGGACGAGUGACAUCUAAAUAGACAAGACUCCCGACAAGAUGACGACAACGCAUCAGAUACAACAAAGGCUCAUUGUCGGAAGCACAAAGGUGGACGUUGAGCUCCAUGGGAGUGUCAACAGUGACCUUAUCACUAAGCGCAUCACAAGUAAGAAGAUACUGAAUGUACUUCUCUUUGGGAAACAAAGAAGCCAUCAGAGGCAGAAGAAACCUCAAUUCCAAGGAAGUAGCGAAGAGGACCAAUAUCAAACAUAAAACUAUUCACUAAGACGAGCCUUCAAAAAGGCAAAUGCACUUAGAGUUGUUGGCAGUGAUGGUCAUGUCAUCGACAUAUAGAAGCAAUGUUCGACCUUGAGCUGAAAGAUGGAUGUACAGUGUAGAUCAUGAGCAUUUGGCAAAAACUAGUUGCAGUCAUUGCUGAAACAGAACACUCAAAUCGGACGAUACAGGCUAAAGGCAUAGAGAUAGCGACGAAGACGCCAGAUCGUGCCAUCAGGAAAAAGAUAUCUAGGUGGUGGCUACAUGUAGACCCUCUCAUGCAACUCACGAUUAAGAAAGACAUUCUUGACAUCAAGCUGAGAGACAGAUCAGUGGCGAACAAAUAUCACAGCGAGAAGUGUGAGAAGAGUGGUCAUGUGGGCCAUAUGAGAAAAUGUUUCAUCUUAGUCAUAGCCAUGAUCCUGUUGAAAGCCACGGGUCACAAGAUGAGCUUUGUUACGCAAGAGAACCAUUAGAGUCUAAAUCUUGUAAACCCACUUACAAGACACAAGUGAUGGGAUGAGCAUAGGGAAGAAGGGAAAUGAGAUCCCACGUGUCGGUGCGUUCAAGAGCAGCAAUCUCCUCUGCCAUCGCAUGUCGCUGUUCGGGAUGAGCAUGGCGUCACGGUAUGUCGUAUUGUGAAGAGCAGCGCUAGAAUACCCAUAGCGAUCAAUAUGCUGAAGCGGGCGAGCGUAGAAGCCAUAAGUAGGUUGAGCUAGAGGCGGUGCAUUGCCAACAGAAGGAGAUAUAAUAGUCGUGGGAGAUGGCUCAUCGAAAGAUGACACAUUAGAAGAAUCCGCAAGAUGCGGACGACUAGUGCAGUAAAGAAGAGGAUUGGGUGGAAUCAUCGGAGAAGUAUUAGGGAAUGAAUGAGGUGGGGAAGCCGCAGGUGAUGAUGACGUGGGGUCUACGACAGUAGUACAAGAAGACACAUUGGAAUGGAAGAGGGCAAUACGUGAGUGAUAGGACGCGUCAACACCAUUAUGGUUGGUGAGUUCAUGCUUUUCAUGGUUGUGCGCAAUAUUGGUAGCAUUUGUACUGUCUGGCAGAUGGACCCCUGAGAUCAUAUUGAACAAGGUCGGAAGGACGACGAGACACUGUCUCGCUAUGAGUAUAAGGUAAUUGGACCGUGGAUUAGAGAGAUCAUCGGAGACGGAUCCAAGAAGACCAAGUCGAACUAAGGAUGAGAGAUAACAAGUGAUCCAAGGGGAUGAUGCCAAUCCUGAAAAUAACUGGUAGACAAGGCAACAGAGGCAGAGACUGGCGAUGGUGGCAGCAGAGGGACUUGAUCCAGCAUCCCAUGUGCCUAUGCACUCUUCGUACCCCACCGAUCCGGCUUGGCGUUCUUGUCCUGUGUGCGGGUUCUGGGUCACGCACUUGAUUAAGCACCCCAGGUUCUCCUACUGCGCCCUUGGCCUUGACUUUAGGUAGCGCCUGUCCUCGGCUCGUCUCGUGCAUAAACCAGGUACGCGUCGACUGUCCGAGCUCCUGCUCACCAUUGGUGGUGCUCGAGCGUGCGGUUAUGGUGUCGCACAUAAAGGGAACACGGGAUGUGGGAUUGCGACAGUACUCAUAGCAGCCUGCAGCAAGGCAAAGAAUGCCCAUCCAAACUGGUAGGGAGCAAAGGUGGGCACAAAGGUGGACGUUGGCUCUAGUCUCAGACUCUCAGUAGUGCGCUCAUCAAUAAGAGCAGCAUGAGCAAGAUCCUAAAUGUACUUCUCUUGGGAAAUAAAGAAGCCAUCAGAGGUAGAAGAAACCUCAGUUCCAAGUAGUGAAAGGGACAAAGAUCAGACAAUAAAUCUAUUCACUAAGACGAGCCUUCAAAAAGGCAAUGCACUCAAAGUUGUUGGUAGUGAUGAUCAUGUCAUCGACAUAUAGGAGCAAAGCUUGACCACGAGCUUAAAGAUGGAUAUAAAGUGCAGAAUGAUGAGCAUUUGGCAAAAACUAGUUGCAACCAUCGCUGAGACAAAAAAUCUCAGACCAUGCACGAGGGCUAAAGGCGUAGAGAGAGAAUUGACGUGGAUAGAAAGGACGAGGCUCAUCAAGAGCAGCACGAGCAAGAAGAUACUAAAUGAAUUCCCUUAGGAAAUAAAGAAGCCAUCAGAGGUAGAAUAAACCUCAAUUCCAAGGAAGUAACAAAGAGGACCAAUAGACAUAAAAACUAUUCACUAAGACGAACCUUCAAAAAAGGCAAUGCACUCAGAGUUGUUGGCAGUGAUGAUUAUGUCGUCAACAUAUAGAAGCAAAGUUUGACCCUGAGCUGAAAGAUGCUAUAAAGUGCAGAUCAUAAGCAUUUGGCAAAAACGAGUUGCAGUCAUCGCUGAGACAAACACUCAAACCAGACACGAGAGGCUAAAGGCAUAGAGAGAGCGACAAAGACGGCAGAUCGUGCCAUCAGGAAAAAAUAUCUAGGUGGUGGCUACAUGUAUACCUUCUCAUGCAACUCACCAUUAAGAAAGACAUUCUUGACAUCAAGCUGAGAGACAGACUAGUGGCGAACAAAUAUCACAGGAGAAGUGCGCGAAGAGUGGUUAUGUGAGCAACAUGAGCAAAUGUCUCAUCGUAGUCAUAGCCAUCUUCAUGUUGAAAGCCAUGGGUCACAAGACAAGCUUUCUAACGCAAGAGAACCAUUAGAGUCUAAAUCUUGUAGACCUACUUACAAUAUACAAGUGAUGGGAUGAGCAUGGGAGGAAGGAAAAUGAGAUCCCACGUGUCGGUGCGUUCAAUAGCAGCAAUCUCCUCUGCCAUCACAUGUCGAUGUUCGGAAUGAACAUGGCGUCACGGUAAGUGGUAUUGAGAAGAGCAAUGCUAGAAUACCCAUGGCGAUCAAUAAGCGGAAGCGGGCGAGCGUAGAAGCCAUAAGUAGGUUGAGCUGGAGGAGGUGCGUUGUCAACAGAAGGAGACAUAUUAGUCGAGGGAGAUAGCUCAUCGAAAGAUGACACAUCAGAAGAAUUCACAAGAUGUGGACGACUGGUUUAGUAAAGAAGAGGAUGAGGAUGAAUCACCUGGGAAGCCUUAGGGGACGAAUGAGGUUGGGAAGCUGCAGGUGACGAUGACGUGGGGUCUACAACAGUCGUACAGGAAGACACAUUGGAAUGGAUGGAUAAGGGCAAUACAUGAGUAAUAGGUGUAUCGGCAAAAGCCAGGAAAGAAAUAUCCUCAAUGAGAGAGGCCGAAGGAGAGAAUUGACAUGGAUAGAAAGGACGAGGCUCAUCAAAAGUCGCACCCCGAGAAAUGCUUAUCCGCCGAUCGAUACGAUCCCAACACUGAUAGCCCUUGUGCUCAUCAGCGUAACCUAAGAGGAAACGUUCAAUAUACUAAGCAACCAGUUUGAGGGGCAAGAAGAAGGUAUUAAACGCAACAAAACAAACGAAGCGUUGUGUAGCCAUGCAUGAGAACGACCAAAAAGACACUCGAGAGGAAUAUCACCCUGCAAAGGAAGGUUGACUGUUGAUCAGGUUGGUGGAUGUAGAAACAACCUCAACCCAAAAGUGACCUAAGAAGACACAUUCAAUAUACUAAGCAGUCAGUUUGAGGGGCAAGAAGAACGUAUUAAACGCAACAAAACAAACGAAGCACCGAGUAGCCAUGAGAACGACCAAAAAGACACUCGAGAGGAAUAUCACCCUGCAAAGCAAGGAAGGAUGACUGUUGAUCAGGUAGGUGGAUGCAGAAACAACCUCAACCCAAAAGUGAGGUGGAAGAGAUGCGUUGAUCUUCAAUGCACAAGCUGCCUCAAGAAGGUGACGAUGCUUAGCAAACAAUUCUGAGCAUCAGGACCAUGACAAGAGAACUGAGAAAGUGCGUCCUGCUCAGCAAGGAAUCCGCGCAAUAAAUGAUUGAUGAACUCGCAAGCAAAAUCUGCAUGGAAGACACAGGAAGGAGUGGAAAACCGGGUAUGAAGCGUGGUGGCAAACUUCUUACUGAUAGAUAAGACCUCACUAGAAGAAAAGCAUAAAAUAUAUCCAUGUGUGUUGAGAGAAAUCAUCUAUAAAGAUGAUAUAAUAGCGAUGUCCUCCUUUUGAGGCAAAGGGACCUGGACCCCAAACAUCGAAGUGAACAAGAUCAAAAGGACGACGAGACACAAUCUCGCUAUGAGGAUAAUGUAACUUAACCUGUCUGCUAAGCCAACAAACUGACAGCCUAAAGACACACCGCCAGAGACAGAUCCAAGAAGACCACGUCGAACUAAGGAUGAGAGACUAGAGCCACACAAGUGACCAAGACGAUGAUUCCAAAAGAACAGGUAAAGAAAGUAACCGAGGCAGAGAGACUGGCGGCGGUGGCAGGAAAGGGAAGGUUAAGCUAGAUAAGCACCCAGAGGACCUGGGAAUUACAACUUCGAGGGCCAACACCAAGUAGAGCAUCCGUGUAAGGAUUCUAAUCAGAACAUGAACAUGAGAAUCUGGAGGUCGAAUGGCUGACAAACUGGAAGAAGUUAUAUGAAAAUACAUCCAGUACCAAGGAUCCAUGGAGAUGUACCUGGUUGUGUAAAAAGUGGUCACUCGGUACAAGAAAAAUUAGUAGCAAAACCUGUUAAUGUUGAACCAAAAGAAGCUGCUAGUAGAUCGCCUAACCUUCGGUGUAGUCAGGUUCUCAACUGAAGAGGUUGACAAAGAAGUACUGGGCAAUGAAACUAGAAGUAGGAAGUAAAUGUUUUGUUAAAGAUCGAAAACCCAAAUGUAUUUCUCAUUCUUCUUGUUUGGCUUCAUUUGGUUUUUGAUCUCUUUCUUUUGUGUUCUUUAUGGUUCAUUUCCUUCUUAUUGUUUCUUUUGUUUAUUUGUUUGCUUUUACAAGAAAACACAAAAUAUUUCUUUCUCCCUUUUUUCUUUUGAAGUUCUUUGAGAAAACAAAAAAAAUAUUUCUUCGUUCUUUUUGCUUUUUCUUUGGAAGUUUAUCUGAUUGCCUCUUUGUUGAAACUUUCGAAAUCUUGUAUCUUUGCUUGUCACUUUGCAUUAUUGUUUGCCUUCUUUGAGAAAACCAAAAAUUCCAAAAAUACUUCAGUGGUGUUUCUCUUAGUUCUUUGCCUUUUAUAUUUCAAAAAAUCCAAAAAUAUUUCUCUUCCAUUUUUCUUUUGUUUUCCUUCGUUUGCUUUUGAUUGUUCUUAUUGGCUUUUCUUGCUGUUUCUUUUUGUUGUUUCUUUCGUCUUUGUGUUUAAGUUGCAAAACCCAAAAAAUCCAAAAAGAUUUCUUGUUUGCAUCUUAUUGAGUCUCGAGUGUUCAAAGUGUUCUUUUUUUCUUUUUUCUUCCUAAUUUUUCUUUUGUAUGUUUCUUUGUUGUUUUCUAGAAACCCCAAAAGAUUUCAUUGUGCUUUUGUUCUUUUGAUGUUCUUUGAGAAAACAACAAAGAUAUUUCCUUGUUUGUUUUGCUUUUUCUUUCGAAGUGUAUUUUAUUGCCUCUUUGUUGGAACUUUGAAAAUAUUUUACUUUGCUUGUCUUUACAUUUUUCGUUGCCUUCUUCGAGGAAAAAAAUUCCAAAAAUAUUUUUGUUGUGUUUCUUUAAGUUCUUCUUUGCCUUUUAUCUUUUCGAAAAUCCAAAAAGAUUUCUCUUUCGUUGUUCGUUUGUUUUCCUUGUUUUUUUGUUGUUCUUUUUGGCUUUUCUUUGCUGUUUUCUUUUCAUCGUUUCUUUUGUCUUUGUGUUUAAGUUGCAAAGCCCAAAAAUUCCAAAAACAUUUCUCUUUUGCCCUUAUUGAUUGUCAACUAUUUGAGGUAUUCUUUUGUUUUUUUCUUCCUAUUUUUUUUGGAUGUUUGUUUGUUGUUCGCGGAGGGCGAGGUGACGCAGAAUCGGAGGGUGGACAGCGGCGAAGCACAAAUCUUCUCGGCGAAGGAGGCGGCGGCCGAAAGAAUGGAGAGCUCGCCUCCGACGUCGGAGCUAUCAACGGGGAAGAUGAAUCCCCAAGCGCUGGGUUGUAACAAGAGGCUUAGGAUUGGUGCUGCCGCACCGAGCAGAACACCGCACCCAAGUUGAAUCAGCGCACGAUCGAGAAGGCUGUCAGGUGUUGCAGAGAGAACCCAACUGAAAACGUGAUCACGCCGGUCCUUGGUACUACUUUCGACUUUUUGGGCGAAGCAUACGACUUGUGUGUACAUGUAGGUGAAUAUCAUCCGGAAAGCAUGGUGAAGCAGUCUAUGCUGCAUGCUCGUCAGUGACCCUGUCAACAGGAAAGGGAGAGAGUAGAAGUUGAGCGAACCCAUGGAUUGAAUGAGGUUUCAGUGGCGUCGAAUCGCACCAUGAUCAGAUACAUGCUGUGAAAUCAUAUUUUGCGUGGGGGCGCCAACAAGCCUGCCGACAGCGAUGUCACUUCCAGAGUUCUAGUGGUUGUAGCAGCCAAGAAGGAACUGCCUAUUGCCGGCGGGGCUCAAGCGGUGUCACUUUCAGUGGCUAUAGCAGCCAAAAAAACCAAAACCCCUCUAUAUUCUGAUGGCAAAUCUGUAAGCAUCUCACUAAUGAAAGAGCUUAUCACCAUGACGUGCACGUGUGCGUUUUAAAAAUAUGUAUGAAUUGCACGUGGCAUCACAUAAAUUACCAUUCGAGAUAAGUUCCAGUCUGCAGAUUUCGGGGGACAGUAUGGCUGGAAUACGCUUGGUAACAGGGAGCAUUACCACUGCUGUGUACAAGACCCCUAAGUAAGACCAAAUCAAAUUUAAGGAGGGAUGGAAGGAGUUUAUUAUGGGGAAGGACCUAAGGUUUGGCAAUGCUAUACUAAUCACUUUCAGAUGCAGCGCAUUUGAGGAGUUCAUAAGGAUAAUGAUCAUCAACAAGAUUUAAGAGUUGCUUGAGUUCAGUCAGGAGGAUGAGGAUGUGAUUUUCGGAAGUAUAAUUCGUUCGCGGCACAACAGUUUUUAAUUUGUUAUUGUUGUCAGUGGAACAAUGAAUUAUCAGUGUGUCCGUAUGUAUAUGUUUGCUAAGCUACUGGAACCUUUGUAUGAACCAUCUGUUUUCAGUAUAUUUUUCUUCAAUCUGCUUUCA